rnacentral:rRNA from 1 species
UACAUAGGGGGCAAGCGUUGUCCGGAUUUAUUGGGCGUCAAGAGCGUGUAGGCGGCUUUACAGGUCCGUUGUGAAAACUCGAGGCUCAACCUCGAGACGCCGGUGGAAACCGUAAAGCUAGAGUCCGGAAGAGGAGAGUGGAAUUCCUGGUGUAGCGGUGAAAUGCGCAGAUAUCAGGAGGAACACCCGUGGCGAAAGCGGCUCUCUGGGACGGUACUGACGCUGAGACGCGAAAGCGUGGGGAGCAAACAGG